CUUUGUCUGAUUACCUUGUGUGUAUUUAGUCUCUGUGUUUCCUCUGUUCUGUUUCAGUUCUUUGAGUCUUACCUGUGCAUCUUUCCCCUGUGUUCUUGUUUCUUCUUUUGUGAUUCUUGUAUUUUUGUACUUUGUGUUUUCCCGUGUGGAUGUUUGGAUUUCCCCCUCCUGUGUUUUUGCUGGAUAUUUACUUCGAAUGAUGUCUUGGACUUUUAAGAUUUGGACACUUUAAAAGAUGAGGCGGUUCUUGAAAAGUUAAGUUCACCACAACUGGACAGGAUCUUGGAAAACUGGCCAAUCAGAGGAAAGUGGACUCUUACAGCGGAGGGGGAGUCCUACAGCGGCAGGAGCUAAACCAGACUGUUUCAGGCUGAGGAUGAAAUGAAGAGCUGCAUAAAGGAGAGCCAACAAAAAAAGAUGAACAGGAACUGCUUCGCUGAUACAGGAAACCCAUGGAUUGCUGGCAUCAGAAAAGUCUCCUCUGGAUUCAAUGAGUGAAGAAAUGAAGGGUCCUGACCUCCCAGAAAAAGCUGCUCAGGAGAUGUUACCCUCCACACAUUGACCUCUUGACCAUCUCAGGUGCUGCAGCUGCAGUGACCCUGCAAUAUCUGCACAGUGUGUGUAAGUGAACCGGACAGCAGAGUGAAGAACGGACCUCUGGAGACCUACCAGCAGUAAUCAGAAGGUGUCUGGUUCAGAUCCCAUGUGGAGUGAGUCAGAGUGGCCCAAAGUGAGAGCCAUUAUCUGACCUCUCCUCUGUGGAUGCUCCUGGAAACGAUGCUGAAGGGUGAAACUACCACUGUGGGUAAAGGCGCCAUCCUGCGAGUGAAAUAAUGAAUUUGGUUUCGGUGCUGAUGACAACUUUAUGCACUGCUAUUUGUCUGUGAGAGGUGACAAGCAGGACAAAGGGCGGUCGUGUGGUUUUGUGUUCUCCUGGACAAGAGGGACAGACAGUGGUGGUACUUAAAGACCACUGGAGGCUGUUUGAUAUAAAAGGGAAGGCUGGAGUCUGAUAUGAUGACACCUCUCACAUCCCCCUGUCUCGCUUUGUGUUGAUCCAUCUGGAUGUUAUUUCCUCCCUGCCUCAGAGUGUGUCUAAGUCACCUCCUUCAUUCUUGUCUCACAGACACCAUGUUUCAAAGCCUGCCAGCUGGGGAAAGAGGAUUUAGGGAGAGUUGCUCAGAGUUGGUGGAAGUGAAGAACUUCAGAUAAGAACUCAGAUAAGAUCAUUGUAGUUGUACUUUCAUUCAAUGAAGUUAAAUGAUGAAGGAACUUAACACUGAGUCUGCUUUUUUGACUCCAGCUGUUUAGUUGCAUUAAUUGCAUUUUUUUAAAUCUUCUCCAGUGUUUUGUGGGUCUAUGACAUUGUUAUGUUACUAAAGCAGAUAAAACAACCUUUACAAAAAAAAUGGUCAUACAAUUUUGGAAAUAACCUCAAAACAAAAAUCAAACAUUAAUUUAUUUUCUGGUUGUCAGACCAGGGAAAGCUCAUGUUCGACACUGUUUCAGAGAUGUGGGAAGAAUGAAGUCUGUUUUAUAUUUCUACAUUUUCAAAGUUGGAGACCAAAGGAAAACCACUGGGCACAGUAUGAGCAUGCACACAGAUCCUACAAUAUGUGUGAAAUUGUGUGGUUAUGAUUUGUUACAUUCAUUUGAGGUGUAUGCAAUGAUGCUUAAAGGAUAACAAAAAUACAAAAGCAGAAGAAGCAUUCAGAGUCACAAUUUCCACACAGAUAUUACGCUCCCCAAAGAAGGCUAUGAGAUGACAAAAGUUGCAAUAAAAAAUACAUCAAAGGAAAAGGAGUGAAAGAAGUAUAAGCAAAAUUACAGAGUUUAUUAACAAACCUAAAGGAAAUUUGAAAUGCAAAAGAAGCAGUCAAAAAACACAAAAGAGAAGCUAAGUUUUCUCAAAUAAUUCUGAAAAUUAAAACAAUAGAUAAACUCUAAUGCCUCGAAUGAAAAGUAAAGUAAGUAAACUUUAUUCAUACAGCGCUUUUCACAGACAGAAGUCACAAAGUUCUUUACAAAGACAAGACACACUGAAAACAAUAAAAUAAAACCUAUAGGCAGCAUAACACAACCUUCCACAAAAUAAGGAGUAAGCAAGUGCAGAUGGACAUAAACACACACACACACACACACGCUAAAUGGCCAACUGAUAACUGUUUCUAUACUGAUCUAGUCAAUAAGGAGUUAGAAAAAGUUACCUUAUUCUUGUUUAAUACUUUUUUACAAGUGUCUCAAAAUAAAUAGAAAAUAGUUGUUGGAUGUUUCCUUCCUCACAACUGGGAAUCAUAUCACAGGAUCAGAAAUUGGCAGAAAUAAAUUCACAGCAUUAUGUUGUGGACUAUAUUAAUGUUAGGGAUAUAGGGUUUAGGUUUACUGUUGUACCUAGAGUGGCUAACAGUCGACACAGCCGUUGUUAGGAGAAGCAGGCAAAUAGUUACUCCACAGAUGCUGCAACGGGCCAUGAGCAACAAGUAUGGUGGCUAUACUUUAAAGUCCUACAUGUUAAAAACUAAAUCAGAUGAAGUGUAUGUAAAUUUUUUUAACCUCUACACUGCUUUACCUUAAUGUCAGACAGCCCUUACAACUGGCAUACUUCCCUGUAUACCUCCACAUACUGAGCGACUGAUUUGGUCAGUGGAGGUGGAAGAGUCACGAUGGAUAAUGUAUUACUGAAACAACAGCAUUGGUCACUUUACGAAACACAAAACCUUUGACGGCUACUCUGCAAAUCUUGUCCCUCUCCAUCUUAUCGAUGAGUCCGACCGUGAGCCCCAAACAUAACAUAAUUUAAUUUGUUUACGAGCCGAAAGAAGAUAAAGCAAUAGAUGUAUAUUUAAGUUUUUCACAAAAAUACUUUAAAACAUCUGAGAAGUCAAAACGGAAAUCUCUGUCAGUCCAAGCAGGGGAAAGAUUUCCUUUAUUGUGUGAAAAAUGUAAUUUAGAGCAGUCACUGUGUCACAGCAGGAGCCGGGUGUCAAUAUUUGACCAUAGACAGCUGCAUUUUCUCUCUGCUUAGCAUUCUCUUUGAUAGACCAAGAGGAGGAGAAAGUAUUAACUGCAGAGACCUCAAGUUGUGACUCGCAUAAUGACAUGGGCACAUCUGACAAACAGACAUAAGCAGCUAGUUUAUUGAGAUUCAUAAUGCAUUCGUGUCUGCUCAAUUUAAACUUUUGUACAGUCUAGGAGGAGGUGAGUGUUUGUGUGUAUAUGCGUGUGUGUGUAUAUGCGUGUGUGUGUGUGUGAGAAUAGAGGCCCUCUUAACUUGCAAGUUUCUGAUGUCCUUACUUUCUUAUGGAAAGUCUGCCGGAACUUCUUGUCAGGCCUCUGAGGGGUGAAACAGAUUCAGAGUUUGUGCAAUCUCAUGCCAAAUUUGCAUCAGCAAAAUAUGUGUAGCAUGGCUAGCAUACUUAAUGCAUUCUAGAAUGAUGGAUGUUGAUGGCUGCUAAACUUUGGGACACUGAUGGAGAGGGGUGUAAUGAAAAAAGGUGAAGAAGGCAUUUUAUUUACAAACAGCACUAGAUGUGUUUGAGUUGCAGACACAUCCUUGUACUGCGAGUCAUAUAGAAAAAUUAACUGUCAUAAUUGAGUGGAAUUUUGACUCCUCCUGAAUGCUCUGCUCACUACUAACCCUUCAAAAUAAAACAAAAUGUUCAGAAUAGUGAGAGCAAGUCAGACAUAUCAUCUCCCACGUGAGGUCCAAACAGAGCGUAAAAGCAGGUAUGUUUCCCUAUCUUUGUACCUGGCUCAUUGAAUCAUGAGCCAAUGCCCUCCUGAAUAUUCACCAUCAGUUUUCUUUGAUUUAUUAUCUUUACAACAGUUUGUUAAAUUCCCUUUGGUUAUAUCAGUUGAUGCCUGGAUCAGCAGCACAAUCAGAAACAAACGUCUAUUUAUUCAAACACUGCAGAACUGCAUGGUCAGACAAGUAGGACACAUGCAAUAGCAGCAUGUAUUUUAAUCUGCAGCAUAAACUGAUCACAUACUCUCUGCAAUUCCACUCGAAAGCACUUCUGUCUGGAAAAUGUUCACACCUUUCCAACUCCAAAUCCCCACUUUGUAAGGCUGGCCUCACAUUAGACGAUUUUAGGCUCAAUUUGAUCAAGGGGCGUGGCCUGAUUCAAGGCUUGUCAUAAUCGAUUAUUUCUCCAGAUAACCCUCAAGUGUGUGGUCUAGUGGUCUUAAGGAAUUGUUUAAUGGUGUUCAAACGAUUGUGAUGUUAAAAAACAGUCAGAUCUGUCUUUAUGUGUGAGGUCUCCCCAAUUUUAAAAACAGUUAAGAUCUAAGUGUGCAUCCAGCCAAAUGCUGAUCCAAGAUUCUGAAAGAGUCUCAGGAUGCCCUCAGCAGUAUAUCUGACCAUUACUCCUUGUGUCAAGUUAACUGAUCUUCAGAAAUAAAUUCUUAGCUUACCCCUUUAAUUGGGACAUAAAUGUCUGAGAAAAGUGUCUCAUUAAGCCUCCAGAUGUACAUAAAGAAUGCCAUGUGCAGUAUUCUGAGGCCUGUCAGUCUGAGCCGAGAGUGUUAAUAACUACUGUCUCUCUGAAACAAGGGCUGUGAUUAGUGUCCAGACUAUGAAGGAGUAAUUCUGCUCCAGAGGGCUCAUUUGCUCCUUAACACCCACUGUCAUUAAAUCCCAGCGCCCAGUAAAGCGAUUAUUCAGCGAUAAAGUUUUAAUUGUGUCAUUGUGUGUGAAGAAGGUGGCGGGUGGAUAAUUAGCAGUCUUGGAGGUUGUACAGAGGGACAGUGGUGGUGUGUCUCAGAGACAAGUGUCACACUAAAGAGGAGAAACUUAAACUGAAUUUGUCAGCCUGUUCUCUUUUCACCCUAAUGCUUGAAUAAAACUGAUAAUAUAA